ACGAGAAUAUUCCGCAAUGGACGAAAGUCUGACGGAGCGACGCCGCGUGAUGGAUGAAGUGCCUUGGUACGUAAACAUCUUUUAUCGGGGACGAAGUUUAUUGACGGUACCCGAUGAAUAAGGAGCUCCUAACUCUGUGCCAGCAGGAGCGGUAAUACAGAGGCUCCAAGCAUUACCCGGAAUCACUGGGCGUAAAGGGUGUCUAGGCGGCCAUAUUAGUCUCUCGUUAAAUGUCCGAGCUCAACUUGGUCACUGCGAGGGAAACGGUAUGGCUCGAGGGCGUGAGAGGUGCAUGGAACUCAUGGUGGAGGGGUGAAAUCCGUUGAUAUCAUGGGGAACACCAAAGGCGAAGGCAAUGCACUGGUACGUUCCUGACGCUCAAACACGAAAGCCAGGGUAGCGAAUGGGAUUAGAUACCCCCGUAGUCCCUGAGCGGGCUGGCAAGGCGCAU
rnacentral:rRNA from 1 species